CGGCAAUGGAGGAAACUCUGACCGAGCAACGCCGCGUGAACGAUGAAGUAUUUCGGUACGUAAAGUUCUUUUAUUAGGGAAGAAUAAAUGAUGGAAAAAUCAUUCUGACGGUACCUAAUGAAUAAGCCCCGGCUAACUAUGUGCCAGCAGCCGCGGUAAUACAUAGGGGGCAAGCGUUAUCCGGAAUUAUUGGGCGUAAAGGGUGCGUAGGCGGUUAAAUAAGUUUAUGGUCUAAGUGCAAUGCUCAACAUUGUGAUGCUAUAAAAACUGUUUAGCUAGAGUAAGAUAGAGGCAAGUGUAAUUCCAUGUGUAGUGGUAAAAUGCGUAAAUAUAUGGAGGAACACCAGUAGCGAAGGCGGCUUGCUGGGUCUUUACUGACGCUGAGGCACGAAAGCGUGGGGAGCAAACAGGAUUAGAUACCCUGGUAGUCCACGCCGUAAACGAUGAGUACUAAACGUUGGGUAAAACCAGUGUUGAAGUUAACACAUUAAGUACUCCGCCUGAGUAGUACGUACGCAAGUAUGAAACUUAAAGGAAUUGACGGGACUCCGCACAAGCGGUGGAUCAUGUUGUUUAAUUCGAAGGUACCCGAAAAACCUCACCAGGUCUUGACAUGCUUCUGCAAAGCUGUAGAAACACAGUGGAGGUUAUCAGUUGCACAGGUGGUGCAUGGUUGUCGUCAGCUCGUGUCGUGAGAUGUUGGGUUAAGUCCCGCAACGAGCGCAACCCUUAUUGUUAGUUACCAGCACGUAAUGGUGGGGACUUUAGCAAGACUGCCAGUGAUAAAUUGGAGGAAGGUGGGGACGACGUCAAAUCAUCAUGCCCCUUAUGACCUGGGCUACAAACGUGAUACAAUGGCUGUUACAAAGAGUAGCUGAA
rnacentral:rRNA from 1 species